rnacentral:rRNA from 1 species
UACGUAGGGGGCAAGCGUUGUCCGGAAUCAUUGGGCGUAAAGAGCGUGUAGGCGGCCAGAUAAGUCCGCUGUGAAAUCUCGAGGCUCAACUUCGAGCUGUCGGUGGAAACUGUCUGGCUAGAGUCCGGAAGAGGAGAAUGGAAUUCCUGGUGUAGCGGUGAAAUGCGCAGAUAUCAGGAGGAACACCGAUGGCGAAGGCAGGUCUCUGGGCCACUACUGACGCUGAGAAGCGAAAGCGUGGGGAGCGAACAGG